rnacentral:rRNA from 1 species
AUUGAACGCUGGCGGCAGGCCUAACACAUGCAAGUCGAGCGGAUGAAGGGAGCUUGCUCCUGGAUUCAGCGGCGGACGGGUGAGUAAUGCCUAGGAAUCUGCCUGGUAGUGGGGGAUAACGUCCGGAAACGGGCGCUAAUACCGCAUACGUCCUGAGGGAGAAAGUGGGGGAUCUUCGGACCUCACGCUAUCAGAUGAGCCUAGGUCGGAUUAGCUAGUUGGUGGGGUAAAGGCCUACCAAGGCGACGAUCCGUAACUGGUCUGAGAGGAUGAUCAGUCACACUGGAACUGAGACACGGUCCAGACUCCUACGGGAGGCAGCAGUGGGGAAUAUUGGACAAUGGGCGGAAGCCUGAUCCAGCCAUGCCGCGUGUGUGAAGAAGGUCUUCGGAUUGUAAAGCACUUUAAGUUGGGAGGAAGGGCAGUAAGUUAAUACCUUGCUGCUUUGACGUUACCAACAGAAUAAGCACUGGCUAACUUCGUG